rnacentral:rRNA from 1 species
UACGUAGGUGACAAGCGUUGUCCGGAUUUACUGGGCGUAAAGAGCGCGCAGGCGGUCGUUCAAGUCGAGUGUGAAAGCCCCCGGCUCAACUGGGGAGGGUCACUCGAUACUGAUCGACUCGAAGGCAGGAGAGGGAAGUGGAAUUCCCGGUGUAGUGGUGAAAUUCGUAGAUAUCAGGUGGAACACCAGUGGCGAAGGCGGCUUUCUGGACGGUAACUGACGCUGAGACGCGAAAGCGUGGGGAGCAAACAGG